ensembl:lincRNA
AUGAUGAGGUGGUACGAGGUGAAGCCCCAGCUGCUGCUUUUGGCGCUCGUUCUGCGCCCCUGGGAUCCCUGCGUGGGCGAGAACGCGGAAAAGCCCGCCAGUAUCCCCACAGAUAAGUUAUUAGUCAUAACUGUAGCUACAAAAGAAAAUGAUGGAUAUCAUCGAUUUAUGCAGUCAGCCAAGUAUUUCAAUUAUACUGUGAAGGUUCUUGGUCAAGGAGAAGAAUGGAAAGGUGGUGAUGGUUUUAAUAGUAUUGGAGGGGGCCAAAAAGUAAGAUUAAUGAAAGAAGUCAUGGAACAUUAUGCCAAUCAAGAAGAUAUGGUUAUCUUAUUUACUGAAUGCUUUGAUGUUAUAUUUGCUGGUGGUCCAGAAGAAGUCCUAAAAAAGUUCCAAAAGACAAACCACAAAGUGGUCUUUGCAGCAGAUGGAAUUCUGUGGCCAGAUAAAAGACUGGCAGACAGGUAUCCAGUUGUGCACAUUGGGAAACGCUACCUGAAUUCAGGAGGAUUUAUUGGCUAUGCUCCAUAUAUCAAUCGUAUAGUUCAAAGAUGGAAUCUCCAGGAUAAUGAUGAUGAUCAGCUUUUUUAUACUAAAAUUUACAUUGAUCCAUUACAAAGAGAAGCUUUUAACAUCACAUUGGAUCACAAAUGCAAAAUUUUCCAGGCCUUAAAUGGAGCUACUGAUGAAGUUGUUUUAAAAUUUGAAAAUGGCAAAACCAGAGCUAAAAAUACAUUUUAUGAAACAUUACCAGUGGCAAUUAAUGGAAAUGGACCCACUAAGAUUCUCCUAAAUUAUUUUGGAAACUAUGUACCUAAUUCAUGGACCCAGGAUAAUGGAUGCACUUUGUGUGAAUUUGAUACCAUUGACUUGUCUGCAGUAGAUGUAAGUGGCAUUAAACAUGUGUGAAAUGUAGUAAUAGAAAACACACUGUCCUAAAAUGCAGCUAUUCAUAGGAAAAAGCCAUAUUUUACAUUUUGACUGUAUGUUAGAUAAUGGAUUUAUGGUGUUAAAAGAGUGAUUUAGAAAAUUGCUGGAUUUGUGUGUUUCUAAACUUUUUGAAGGCAAAACCAACUAAUACUGGUACUCAGUAAAAGAAGUUUGGGUGGCAACUGUUUAAUGUGAUUGGGUGAUCUUUUAUUAUUUUAGUGUUGGCUUUGUCAGAACAUUGAGAAAAAUAAUUAUAUUGCUUCAGUAUUUUUAUUGAUUAAUAUUAUUCAUGCUCAGUUUUUGAAGUUGAUGAUUUUAGAAUAACUUUUAUUUUAUUGUUUGAGACAUGACUUCACUCUGUAGUUCAGGUUGGCCUUGAGCUCACUAUGUAGCUCAGGCUAGCCUCCUCCUGUGUUAGCCUCUUGAAUGCUGGGAUUAGAGGUUUGUGUCAUCAUGCCUGGCAAGAGUAAUAUAUGAUUAAAUACUUUUGAGAAGUUGGUUACUACUACCAUGAUGCCUUUAUAUAGCAAGAAUCAGCCAUACUAUACCUUGGUUCUUUGUGUCUUUUAUAAAAGAUUUCCGACAAGACACAUAGGCUAAUAUAUAGGUAGAUUUUAUUGCAGAAUAAUAGAUUUUUCAAAGUGCGUGAGAGAGAAUACACCUUCAGGGUUGAAAUGCACAAGGCAAAGGUGGUAGUUCUACCUAGUAAGAUCUCUGGUUACAUUAUAUUAACUGGGCCUUUCAAGGAAUAUCCUCUUUCUUUUUUUCUUUCUUUCUUUCUUUCUUUCUUUCUUUCUUUCUUUCUUUUUUUCUCAAAGAAAGUUCAUUGUUCUCUUAAAGGAAAAUGGUCUCUAUGUUGACAUACUUCAGAGAGGAAAGUUCUUGUUUACUGAGUACACUAGUUUUUACCAACACCUCAGUCAUAGUAUAAACUUUGUACAGGCCUGUACCUUGUCCCCCUGCUCAGAGAAUGUUAAAUUCUCUUGGGCUAAAGUUUGAAACCACAAGUGUAAUAUACAAUAUACAAUUGUAUAUUAUCUGUAGCUAAGGAUUAAGAAAAUGAAGGGAAAAAAAAUCAAAGGAAUGGAAACAUUAUGCUUUCUUUGGUUUUUAUGCAUCCCCAGCUGCCUAUCUGCAGACCUGUUAAUGUCUAACUUACUGCCUGAUACUAAGUUCUUUACCACCUAAUCCAUUUCAAAAAUCUCCUAAAGUAGAUGGCACUUUUGACUUGUUUUUACAGAUGAGACGAUAUGGGUACCUAAAGUUAAGUCACUUGCUCAAGGCCACACAAUUUUUAAUCUUCAAAGUAGGGACUUGAAUUUAGGUAAUCUAGCUCCAACCCCUGUGCUCUUGAUCACUGGUGGUUUAUCUUCGUAGUGUGUAUGUACUAUACAUCAUGUAUGGUGUUACAUGUAUUUCAUAGAGAAAUAAAACUACGUAUACUUUGAAGCUGAAUAAGCAGUUGGGAUGACUGUUAUUUAGUAAUGAAACAGUUUUUUGGUUGUUCUGUCAUCUGAGCAGUUUUACAAUGUCCUGUAGUAAUAUUAUUCGUUUAUAAAAUUGCUCUUGUAAUUUGGAGUAUUCUUUUUUUUUUGUACUGGGAGUUGAACUCAGGAGCUUACACUUGCUAGAUAGGUACUGUCUGCAGUACCACUGAGCUACAUUUCCAGCCUGUGACUGUAUUCAAUGAGAUUCCAAGGAACAGUUUUGUCAUUGAAGCUAAGUUUUUCCCUCCUUGACCUUAAGCUUUAUUGAGCACCUACAGCUUGCUAGAUAAAGUAAAAGCAAUAUUGACAAAUAUGUAACUCCAAAUACUAUAAUUAUGUUAAGUCCUAAAACCAUACACAUGCAAAAUAUUUUCAGUUUAGCCCACUCAAACUCCUGAAAUACUUUCUAUACUUAAUCACUGUUUAAAGAGAGGAUAAAAAAUGACUUGUUUAUAUUCAGGAGCUUCUGAGUAAAGCCUUAUAUUACUUGCAAAUAAGACUUUUUGGCAAGCCCGUUAAAUAACAACUAAUGUUUCCUAUCUGGAAAGAAUGCCAGAAUGUUUCUGAAUGAAGUUGCAUGAUGAAGAUGUUUAAAAAUUCCUCUUGAUAUUUUUUACAGACAGUGGUUGUCAUUCUCUGGAGGGAGAAGUAAUAGUUUCCACUUUUAAAGUUUCGUUUUAUAUAAACUUUUUAGUCCAAAGAUAGAAAAAAAUACUUGUAUUAAAAUAUUUAUUUAUUUGCAUUCAAAAUCACUUGAUUUUUAAUAGCCUGUUAAAUAUGCUAGGAAAUAGACUCUGUCUUAAGUGCAAAAUAAAAUUCUGUGUUUUCUAUGUAUUUAGUAAUUAUGCAAUAGGGGUGUGAAGAGUAGAGGUGAGUGAGUAGUAGUUGAUUUUCCAAGAGUUGUGUCAUAGUUACUUUUUCUUGUUGCUCAAAGUUAAAGGAGAACAGAUUUAUUGUAGCUGACAGUUAGUAGAGGUUUCAAUUCCUAGCUAGCUAGCUCCAAUGCAGGGUGGCUUGACAUGGGGGCACUGAGGCGGAGAAACAGUUCAUGGUGGGCAGAAGGCAGCAAAGCAGCAAAAUAGCAGAACAGGAGCAGCAAAUGAAGGCAGCAGUUCCCUUCUGUCCCUUAUAGUCUAUCCAGACUACCCAUAUUGCACCAUUAAUUCCAUCAUCACAUCUUUAAUCCCAUAAUCAUACAUCCUAGAACCACUCACCUUUGAAAAGCUUUAUCUGUGAUUGCCGUGAGGCUUCGUGGGGACAUCUACAUACAAACCAUAAUAGGUACCAUAAUUUAAAUGUAGGCUGCAGGCAACUUCUUUAUAGGUAAAAAUAGUAGUGGAUGCCUCAGAGUGUUGCAAAGAGGGGUAAGUGAAAUUUUACACUCUAUCUGUAUCUAUCUAUGCACUUUACAUAAUUUUAGUAUUUAAUAAAUGUGAAUUGCUAUAUUCUUAUCUUUAAUAAUCUUAAAUUAAUGAUGAGAUGUCAUAAGUAAAAGCCCAG